AAUGCUUGUGUGCUUCUGUCUUUCAUGAACAACAAACGGAAAUCAAGGAGGACUCCAUCAACACUUAGCACCUGACAACUGUCUGGACCUGUACCUGAACCAGAGCCACAUGGACCCAGGGACAGGAAAAGGCAGUGCAGCUAAUGCUGCGCUGAGAGUCUGAGGGUCCUGAAUGGCCAGCCGUCCUGGUAGGGGAUCCUGCAAAGACUCGGCCUACCUGAAGGUUUCUUCCUUUUUUCCCGAAUAAGGGUUUUUUAGGGAGUUUUUCCUGACAUGCUUUGCAGGUCGAAGGCUGAAGACUCAAAGAACAUCAAGAUAUCUUUUACACCUGAAUCCAGCUAUUUUUCCCUUUUUCAUUUUGUUAUUUUUUUUCCCAUGACAACGGGCUAUAACCAUGAAGCUUAAACUUGCAAUGAUUAUUGAUACAGAUUUUCAAUGGACUCCACACAAUGCACCUGUUGUGCAAAAUGUUUUAUUUUCAUGCGUAUAUAUUUUG